GAUGAACGCUAGCGGCAGGCUUAAUACAUGCAAGUCGAGGGGCAGCAUGAUUGUAGCAAUACAAUUGAUGGCGACCGGCAAACGGGUGCGGAACACGUACACAACCUUCCAACAAGUGGGGGAUAGCCCAGAGAAAUUUGGAUUAAUACCCCGUAACAUAGCGAUGUGGCAUCACAUUGCUAUUAUAGAUUUUUCGCUUGUUGAUGGGUGUGCGGCUGAUUAGAUAGUUGGCGGGGUAACGGCCCACCAAGUCUACGAUCAGUAGCUGAUGUGAGAGCAUGAUCAGCCACACGGGCACUGGGACACGGGCCCGACUCCUACGGGAGGCAGCAGUAAGGAAUAUUGGACAAUGGACGCAAGUCUGAUCCAGCCAUGCCGCGUGAAGGAUUAAGGUCCUCUGGAUUGUAAACUUCUUUUAUAAGGGACGAAAAAAGGCUUUUCUAAGUCGUCUGACGGUACCUUAUGAAUAAGCACCGGCUAACUCCGUGCCAGCCGCCGCCGUAAGAC
rnacentral:rRNA from 1 species